rnacentral:rRNA from 1 species
CCCUUAGAGUUUGAUCCUGGCUCAGAACGAACGCUGGCGGCGUGGAUAAGACAUGCAAGUCGAACGAGAGAAUUGCUAGCUUGCUAAUAAUUCUCUAGUGGCGCACGGGUGAGUAACACGUGAGUAACCUGCCCCCAAGAGUGGGAUAGCCCCGGGAAACUGGGAUUAAUACCGCAUAAAAUCGCAAGAUUAAAGCAGCAAUGCGCUUGGGGAUGGGCUCGCGUCCUAUUAGUUAGUUGGUGAGGUAACGGCUCACCAAGGCGAUGACGGGUAGCCGGUCUGAGAGGAUGUCCGGCCACACUGGAACUGAGACACGGUCCAGACACCUACGGGUGGCAGCAGUCGAGAAUCAUUCACAAUGGGGGAAACCCUGAUGGUGCGACGCCGCGUGGGGGAAUGAAGGUCUUCGGAUUGUAAACCCCUGUCAUGUGGGAGCAAAUAAAAAGA